AAAGCCUGAUCCAGCCAUGCCGCGUGUGUGAAGAAGGUCUUCGGAUUGUAAAGCACUUUAAGUUGGGAGGAAGGGCAGUUACCUAAUACGUGAUUGUUUUGACGUUACCGACAGAAUAAGCACCGGCUAACUCCGUGCCAGCAGCCGCGGUAAUACGGAGGGUGCAAGCGUUACUCGGAAUCACUGGGCGUAAAGAGCACGUAGGCGGCCUUGCAAGUCAGAUGUGAAAUCCAACGGCUUAACCGUUGAACUGCAUUUGAAACUGCAAGGCUAGAGUAUGGGAGAGGUAGGUGGAAUUCUCGGUGUAGGGGUAAAAUCCGUAGAGAUCGAGAGGAAUACUCAUUGCGAAGGCGACCUGCUGGAACAUUACUGACGCUGAGGUGCGAAAGCGUGGGGAGCAAACA
rnacentral:rRNA from 1 species